GUGACUAUUAUUAACUACAACGAGAUGUAAUUCGACCAAAAUGCAAUGCAACUAAAAAGGAAAUGGACUUUUGCUCAUUACAGAUAUCGCGUCGCAUCGUAUUGUGGGCUUAAAGCCAGGAAUUGGAAUUAAUUUGAGAAUAAAGACAAGCAUGUUAAUGUUGGAUAUGUGCGGAUGCUGUGGAAUCAUGGUGGCUGGAGUGAACGGAAUUGUGAUUGAUCCGCGCUAAUGGUUUCAUCAAGUUUAUUAUCCUUAUUAUUAACUAAAAAGUUUGUUAUUGCACGCAAAACAGGUAGUGUUCAAAUAAAAUAAAAACAAACAAAAA